UACGUAGGGUGCAAGCGUUGUCCGGAAUUAUUGGGCGUAAAGAGCUCGUAGGCGGUUUGUUGCGUCGGCUGUGAAAUCCCGAGGCUCAACCUCGGGUCUGCAGUCGAUACGGGCAGACUAGAGGUAUGCAGGGGAGAACGGAAUUCCUGGUGUAGCGGUGGAAUGCGCAGAUAUCAGGAGGAACACCGGUGGCGAAGGCGGUUCUCUGGGCAUUACCUGACGCUGAGGAGCGAAAGUGUGGGGAGCGAACAGG
rnacentral:rRNA from 1 species